UUGCUUUUAGCCCUGAGCAGUUAAAAGCUGAACUGUUUCAUUCUGCUUUAGGAGGAUACAAGAGGGAAAAUACCUCAAUCCUUCGGGUGUGGUUCUGUGUGCAAACCAAGGUAAACUCUGCUUGCUGCGGUCCUGCCCUGUGUACACGCAGCCACAUCAUCCAGCUCUGGAUGCAGAUGGCCACAUCAUCCCCACUCCCUUCUUUGUGCUGGCACUGACAUGCUGAGUGCGUGGCAGUCUUGUCUGGGGAUUGCAACACACUGCUGGGAAGAGCAGCUGAAGUGUCCUGAAGCACCCAGUCUGACUUCACCCACGUUAGACGUGUACACACAGUUACCAGGUCUCAGCCAGGAGCUGCUGAAAAAAACUAGAGUGCUGGGGCCAUGAGCAGAUUCUCAGACUGUGUCACAGCUGAGAGCCGUGACUAGAGGUGUGUUUUACUGUCAUGGCAAGAACAGCAGGCUCUGUUCCACAGCUGGUUCUCUGGCAUGCCUCCUUCAGGAAUCUAUUCCUCAGUCAACCUUACGGCUACCCCACUGCGAAUACUGGGUGCUGCCAGUGUUAAACCAAUAGCAAUUUCCUAACAUACAGACAGAUACAGGUAAACAACAAAAAACAUGGGUCUGCAUUAUUGUUUAUGGGAGAACAUGAGGCAUUUCAGGAAGAAAAAUGUGCUUUUCCUUACAGCAUCUCCCAUUUCAUGCCCCAAUCCCCACUUCUCUGUCUCUUUGCACAACAGACUAUGUGAGAGCUGGAAGAAGAAUCAGAAUACAGUGAGAACAGUUAACUUCUUGAUUAGCAAGAAAAAGGGAAUUCAUACUCAGGAUGGUAGGUGAGAGAGACAAAGGGUCCUGUAUUAUUUUUUUUUAAUAGAUACCUUGUUUUUUCUGGGUCCCUCUUUUUGUUUGUAUUUAAAGUUGCUGGUGACUAUUGAAAUAUAAAUACUAUGAGAGCAAGAGGUGCUCUAGUAAUUAGUUGCUCAUAUGCAAUAGAAAAGUAAAUACGAUGUGGUUACAUAAACACUUGAAGUAACAGACAUGAGUAAGCCACCUUGUUAUUUUAAGGCUGCAGUAGUGAAUGCACUUCAGUCCACUGCGUUUCUGUUACACUGAACUCAACUGAAAGAUGCAUUUUAGACUCUAACAGGCUUUUAAAAGGCUUUUUUAAACACUUAUCUGCAACUUUAAAAGGAAAACAGUAUGAAAAGAAAUCAGGAAUAAAAUAACCAAGAAGCACAAACAAAAUUACAAAGUUUGCUUGGUUUUAAAUAUGCAGACUAGAAAGUGACUGGGGAAGUUCUAAAAGUUCAGGGUAUGUGUUCAAGUGCCCCUCAAAAUAACUGCCUUGACAGACUUUUUGCCCUUUUAAAAGCAAGCUUACUCUCCCUGUUUGUAAAAAGCCCGUUCUGAGCAUCUGCUGCCACAGCAGCACUCUCGGCUAUCCCUUGGCACUGCUAAUGCAGCCAGCCCCCGUGUCCGAGCACCGACAGACACCCAACAAGGUCGGGUAUUGACUCAGCUCUCACCCUCCCUUCCUCUGGCCUGCGCUGCCACCACAGAGCAGACGCUCAAUAAAACACCCAUUCACCUGGUGCGGCAAGAAUGGAAAACCUGACGCUGGGAGGUUGUUAUUUCUGUCUCACACAGCACUUGAACUGACUGCAGCCUUCAAGUCUUUCGGCUUUGAAUGCUUAGUUAGAAAGAGGGUUUUUUCAUCUUUAUUACAAAGAAUGCUGCCAAAACAUGUCCUGAAAUGAAGAGAACUUUAAAAACUACACUUCCUUCUAAAUGGUUUGGGCUGGGUUAUUUUACAAGUUUAUUUUAGAGUGUUCUAGAACACUUUCAAAUAGUAUUUUUAUAUACUAGUGACUGUAUCUCUAAUUGCAUUUUCUUUUUCUCUCAACCAAAGACUCUCUGUAUGUUGUGCACCAGGCAAAAGCCAUUUUAUGCUGGAUCUCCUACUGCCACUGGUAAUCCACAGUCACUCAUCCCAUGAGCAAGAAGACAUCCUAAAAGACCAUCUUUGCAGUUGAUGAAAAACAAGGAGAGCAAUUUCUAACAGAAAUACUCAUUGUAAGGCCAGAAUGCAGAACUCCUGCAGCAGUUGCACUUCAGCCUCACUGUUUGCACUGGGAAAGAUUUAAUUGUGCAACAGAUGUUUUAAAGAAGGUGAAAAGCUUCAAUAGUAUUUAAUGUGAAAGAAUAAAAUCAUAAAGAAGGACAAAGCAAUGUAAAACUUUGCAAGUUCUGUCUGUACUCUGCUCUAACAGAAUUUGUCCAGAAAGCUUAAAAAACCCGAAACCAAAACCCCCACAAUCUGUAGAAUUAAUACUGAUGUGCACAUAAAUCAGUAAGACGAGGUCAAGUCUGCCUUUCCUUACCACAUGAACGAACAUGAAAUAGGAAGCAAGGAGUAAAUCUCCCUAUAGUUCAUUUUAUAUAAUGGCAUUGACACAUGACCAUUCAAUGCCAUUUUAUGAAGGUGACUGCAGAAGGUGAAGGGGAAGAAUAACAAAAGAGAAAAGGGGAAGAGAUUUCAGAGUAUAACAACGUAUUUUAAGUCCAUUAUACGUGCUAGAUGUAGUGCCCUGAAGCAGCAGCUCCACACAGAUAGUUAUGUUUUGCUAGAACAGCAAAUAAAUAAUCAAAUCUGCAAAUAAAACCAGAAGCAAAUAGAACUUCACAUUCUAAAUGGCAUUCUCAGAUCGAUUUUUACUUUAAAAUAUGCAGAGUUCUCACUAAGGCUGUGAAUAGAGAUGGUUCUGCAAUACAACAAGCAAAUAAGUUAACUUAAAACAGAUUAAACAUGGGUUAAAGGAAAUAAAAACCUGACACAAUGUAUUCAUGUACUAGUCCAUUAAAAUAAAAUCCCAAAGUGAUAUUGAUUAUGAGUCAUGAGAAAUGAAAGUGAACAUCAUGACAUUAUUGGACAUGGAAAAAAGCAUCAUUUCUCAUUUAAAGUUAGCUCACACUAAUUCAGGUAAAUAUCUGAAACUGAUUUAAUGCUCAGAGUUAAGAAGUUUCAAUUUCUCCAGAGCUCAGUUUUAUCACAACUUUUUCCACAAGUUCCCUUACUUCUAAAUAUUUAAAAUC